rnacentral:ncRNA from 1 species
AUUCCAUUUGAUUAAAAGGGAAGUUGGUGUGAGUCCAACACUGUCCCGCAACUGUAUGUAGGAGUUCCAUAACGAGACCACUGUUUUGUUCUUCAAAACGGGAAGGUGUUAUAGGAAUGUUGAUGAUAAGUCAGGAGACCUGCCGCUAAAUAA